GCAUGAAGCUGGAAUCGCUAGUAAUCGCGAAUCAGAAUGUCGCGGUGAAUACGUUCCCGGGUCUUGUACACACCGCCCGUCACACCAUGGGAGUUGGAAAUGCCCGAAGUCAGUGACCCAACCGAAAGGAGGGAGCUGCCGAAGGCAGGUCUGAUAACUGGGGUGAAGUCGUAACAAGGUAGC
rnacentral:rRNA from 1 species